rnacentral:rRNA from 1 species
UACGAAGGGGGCUAGCGUUGUUCGGAAUUACUGGGCGUAAAGCGCGCGCAGGCGGUCUUCCAAGUCAGUGGUGAAAGCCCGGAGCUCAACUCCGGAACUGCCAUUGAAACUGUGAGACUGGAGUACGAGAGAGGUGAGUGGAAUUCCCAGUGUAGAGGUGAAAUUCGUAGAUAUUCGCAAGAACACCAGUGGCGAAGGCGGCUCACUGGCCCGAUACUGACGCUGAGGCACGAAAGCGUGGGGAGCAAACAGG